rnacentral:rRNA from 1 species
UACCUAGGUGGCAAGCGUUGUCCGGAUUUACUGGGUGUAAAGGGCGUGUAGCCGGGCUUACAAGUCAGAUGUGAAAUCCGGGGGCUCAACCCCCGAACUGCAUUUGAAACUGUAGGUCUUGAGUAUCGGAGAGGCAGGCGGAAUUCCUAGUGUAGCGGUGAAAUGCGUAGAUAUUAGGAGGAACACCAGUGGCGAAGGCGGCCUGCUGGACGACAACUGACGGUGAGGCGCGAAAGCGUGGGGAGCAAACAGG